rnacentral:rRNA from 1 species
AACGUAGGAGACAAACGUUAUCCGGAGUUACUGGGCGUAAAGGGCGUGUAGGUGGUUGCGUAAGUCUGGCGUGAAAUUUUUCGGCUUAACCGGGAAAGGUCGUCGGAUACUGCGUAACUAGAGGACGGUAGAGGCGUGUGGAAUUCCGGGUGUAGUGGUGAAAUGCGUAGAGAUCCGGAGGAACACCAGUGGCGAAGGCGACACGCUGGGCCGUACCUGACACUGAAACGCGACAGCAUGGGGAGCAAACAGG